GAAGACAGGAUCAUUGGAAGCAUAGAUAGGUGGAUAGAUCGACGAAAUCGCGGCCGUGGCGUACAUACGCGCGAGUAUUAGCCGUCGUUCGUCUCCCCCCUUCAACCGACGCGUGCAAACAAAUCGAAAGUUUUUCGCAAAAUGGCCGUCACCGGGCUGACACGGAUGUCCGCAUAAACUCGCUCUUUCCCUCUACCUUCCCCUCCACACCUUCCCACUACCCCACGUCAUUCUCUCUCUCGGUACUCGUGAUUUCCCUCACCUCCCAUACCACCACAAAUAUGGCGCCUCCACCCGUUUUCCCAACCCCUACAUACCGUGGCUGCAUAAAGUGCGAGAGCGAGAGUAGAGAGUAACAAGGGGUAGGGAUAGGAAGGAAGAAAGGGCAAGAGAGAGUAAGCAUGCUUUCUCUUCUCUCUCUCUCUCUCUCUCUCUCUUUCUCUCACUUCCUCUCUCUCUCACUCUCUCCGUGAAUAGAAUAUAUGUAGACGCACGUAUCUCACUCUCACUCCCUCAUCACGGUUGCGAACGUACAUGCGCAAGUAGUGAGGACCGGGUUGCUCGCGUGUGUGGUAAGGGGAUGCCCCUAUGUGAAUAUCGCGCAGCACACAGUCCCAAGCAGUUUCCUACUUGAUUGCCGCUAUCGUCCAGCAGCCUCGUAAGGGAAGCCGUCCGCGUGGAUUCUACUACGACGCCUCGACCAAUCGGAACCCUCGUAGGCGAGCCUUGGCCAAUCGUAGCCUUAUACUCCCUACCACUCUGUGCUACCGGCGCAAAGACUCGAAUGAGAGCUCGUCCUCGUCCAAUCCUCGACGUGACUUUUUCGAUCGACGUCCGCGCGUUUGGUCCGCGCGGACUUCUUCGUUCUCUCUCUUUCUCGCGUUCUCUAUGGCCAUAGCUAUACGAAAUGAAGGUGCUACGCGAAGCCGCAGCGAAACAUGAAAAAUAGGGGGCUACACGAGGAAAAACACGGUUGAGGGAGGAGGUGGAGAAGGUGGUGCUGGUGAAGGAUGAAGAGGAGGUGGAAGAGGACUCUGUGGGAUGGACCCUACGAACCGAAACAGCAAAGGCUGUUCAGGGUGAUGUGAUGUGGUGGUGGUGAUGGUGGCAGCGGUGGUGGUAACGGUGGCGGCGGUGGUGCUGCGCCAGUCGGAAGAUAGAGAGGCCGAGGAUGAGAAUGGAAAAGUAACAUAACGAAACGUCGAUCCCAUUACCUGAAGCUCUCUCGCUCUGCCGUACAGCGAGCUCUGCUUUCGACCCUUAAUCCAAAGAAGGAUUAGAAAACCCCAUUGUCAUGCUUCGCGGAACGCGAGAUGGUGUGGCUCUUUAUCUCCUUUCCACUGGGCGAAGAAGGAAUAUAAGGCAGUACCGUAGAGUGUUGGCGUAGCUGUCGGUCGCGCUUGGUCGGCUGCGGUUUAUACAGAGCCGCCUUGCCAGCCGCUUGCCGCCUGCCGCAGCCGGUUUGCGUGUUCACCGUGUUCGCUCCGUGGAUACGUGUCCUCGGCGCGGCUCUGCGCGGUACUCACCGAACUCUGGCCAAAGCGCGACCGAGAGGGAAAAGGAACGAAAGUGGCGCGUAGACGAGAAGCACGCGAGCAAGUGCGAGAGAGACCGAACGAUGCCGUGAAAAGCGAUAGCGAGAGAGACGCCAAUAGGCGGCAGAACCAGUCGCUGCGGUCGCCGCGGCUAACCACACCGAUGUUCUCAACCUGCGGCGACCUUGCCCGAUCAUCGCGGAUCUUGCGAAUUACGAAAAGCUGCCAGAUCGUGCAACGCGGACCGCUCGACCGUGUAAGAGGAUAGAAGUAUCGCAGGAAGGAAGAUAAAGAAAAACGUGACACUAGACCCCUUUGAAAUCUACCUUUGCACAAGAAAAAGAGUCAACAGCUUUGAGCUCGUUAACUCGCCAAACUUGGCCGAUGGGAGAGAAGCAAAAGGAGAAAAAUCAAGAGAGGAUACUCGAUAACGAUCGUAAACUUUACGUUUCUCCUCAUGACAAUGCUUUCUCGCUUCGAAUAAUAACGAAGCUCGUGCGUACAAAGCGACACGGAGAAAGACACACACAGUUACGAACGCGCUCGCUCGUUCACGCAAGCAAGCAAGCAUAUAGAUAUAGAUAGAUAGAUGGUGAGAGAGUGAGAGGGAAACGUUCGUAAAUUCAGACGAGUGGAGGGCCUUUGGAGCGAGCAUAAUGGCCUCGGUAUACAUCGAGGCGAAAGCGUAUCUGCAUAUACGAGGUAUGCCCCUCAAGAGCCAACGGCAGCAACAGCAGCAAGACGGCAACGACAGCUACGACUACGACUACGACGACGACGACGACGACGACGACGACGACGACGAUUCUCUGGUGGUAGUCGUCGCUCGAACAUCCGAGACAAUGCAUCGUUUAUCUCCGAUCGACUCGGAGAACGACGAGGAACGAUGAACGAACGAGUAGGAGGACUCGUACAUCCAAGCAACGCGUACAUGCGUUAUGGAGACUCCAAAAACAGCUCUUAGAAACGAUUAAAUCAAGCAGACAAAGAAAUAUUUUCUUCAUCUACAAAAGUAUUCGUUCGUGACGCAAGAAGUGAUCAACAACGUCAGAUAUUUUCGACGUGUUUUUUCAGGAAUCUGCUCUUUUAUUAGAUCAGCGUUUUUAAUAUAUAUAAGACAAUAAUCUUAAUUUCUAUAAUGUUGAGAUUUUUCAGGAAAGUAAAACUGAAUCGGUUGCUCUGUAACAAAGUUUUAAAAAUUUAUUUAUCGACUACAUCAUAUUUACAGUAUUUACAGUCUUACCUGUAACAGAGAAAUGACAAUUAAAGUUCCUUUUCCCCCGUUACACUUUUAUUUACUCUUUUUUUUUAUUAAACUACUUAUCAUUAUUAUUGCACUAAAAAUCACACACGUGCUUUCUGUUCUCUUUGUUCGUAUCCGUCUGUUUCUCUCUAUUCAUCAAUCCAUGUUGCCAAAUUCAAUACCCAGCCGCGAUAGCGCGGCAAAUUCAGUU